GACGAACGCUGGCGGCGUGCUUAACACAUGCAAGUCGAACGGAAAGGCCCUGCUCUUGUGGGGUGCUCGAGUGGCGAACGGGUGAGUAACACGUGAGUAACCUGCCCUUGACUUUGGGAUAGCUUCAGGAAACUGGGGCUAAUACCGGAUAGGAGCUCCUGCUGCAUGGUGGGGGUUGGAAAGUUUCGGCGGUUGGGGAUGGACUCGCGGCUUAUCAGCUUGUUGGUGGGGUAGUGGCUUACCAAGGCUUUGACGGGUAGCCGGCCUGAGAGGGUGACCGGCCACAUUGGGACUGAGAUACGGCCCAGACUCCUACGGGAGGCAGCAGUGGGGAAUAUUGCACAAUGGGCGGAAGCCUGAUGCAGCAACGCCGCGUGCGGGAUGACGGCCUUCGGGUUGUAAACCGCUUUCGCCUGUGACGAAGCGUGAGUGACGGUAAUGGGUAAAGAAGCACCGGCUAACUACGUG
rnacentral:rRNA from 1 species